rnacentral:rRNA from 1 species
UACGGAGGGUGCAAGCGUUAUCCGGAUUCACUGGGUUUAAAGGGUGCGUAGGCGGGCUUGUAAGUCAGUGGUGAAAGCCCGGAGCUUAACUCCGGAACUGCCAUUGAUACUGCAGGUCUUGAGUACACUUGAGGUGGGCGGAAUACAUCAUGUAGUGGUGAAAUACUUAGAUAUGAUGUAGAACACCGAUUGCGAAGGCAGCUCACUAAACUGUAACUGACGCUGAGGCACGAAAGCGUGGGGAUCAAACAGG